UGAGCAACCUGCCCUUGACUCCGGAAUAACAGCUGGAAACAGCUGCUAAUACCGGAUACGACCUCCGAUGGCAUCAUCUGGAGGUGGAAAGCUCCGGCGGUCAAGGAUGGGCUCGCGGCCUAUCAGCUUGUUGGUGAGGUAACGGCUCACCAAGGCUUCGACGGGCAGCCGGCCUGGAGGAGGGCCGACCGGCCACACUGGGACUGAGACACGGCCCAGACCUCUACGGGA
rnacentral:rRNA from 1 species